rnacentral:lncRNA from 1 species
AUUUGACUGAAGAAAUGCUAGAAGAGCACCCAAAUAUGGGUGCUUACAUGGCUCCAUCGCUCAACAUACGCCAAGAAAUUAUCACUACUGAGGUACCUAAGCUUGGUAAGGAGGCCACAUUGAAGGCUCUUAAAGAGUGGGGCCAGCCUAAGUCCAAGAUCACUCACCUUGUAUUUUGUACAACUUCAGGAGUAGAAAUGCCCGGUGCAGACUAUAAACUAGCCAAUCUUCUAGGCCUCGAAACAUCAGUUAGAAGAGUGAUGUUGUAUCAUCAAGGCUGCUAUGCAGGUGGGACUGUUCUCCGAACUGCGAAGGAUCUCGCAGAGAAUAAUGCUGGAGCACGAGUUCUUGUGGUAUGCUCUGAGAUCACAGUUGUUACUUUUCGUGGACCUUCUGAAACCCAUUUACACUCUUUAGUGGGUCAAGCCCUUUUUGGUGAUGGGUCGACAACUAUAAUUGUUGGAUCAGAUCCAGAUACCUCCAUUGAACGACCACUCUUCCAACUUAUUUCAGCAGCCCAAACAUUCAUUCCUAAUACACAAGGUGCUAUUGUUGGCAACUUACGUGAGGUGGGUCUAACCUUUCAUUUGUGGCCUAAUGUGCCUACUCUGAUUUCCGAGAAUAUAGAGAAGUGCUUGACUCAAGCUUUUGCCCCACUUGGUAUUAGUGAUUGGAACUCCUUGUUUUGGAUCGCUCAUCCAGGUGGCCCGGCCAUUCUAGAUGCAGUCGAAGCAAAACUCAAUUUGGAGAAAAAGAAACUCGAAGCAACAAGACACAUCUUUAGUGAGUAUGGUAAUAUGUCAAGUGCAUGCGUGUUGUUUAUUUUGGAUGAGAUGAGAAAGAAAUCACUCAAAGAAGAAAGGACCACCACAGGUAAAGAAUUAGAUUGAGGCGUUUUAUUUGGUUUUGGGUCAGGUCUGACCAUUGAAACUGUUGUGCUGCAUAGUGUUGCUGGGGCUACAAAUUGAGUGAAAAGAAAAAAAUCAGAAGGGGACAAUUUCCAAUUAAAUCAAAUAGGAGUUAAUAAAGACAUAUAUGUCUUCUAUUUGUAACAUCUUUUAUUCUUUAUUAAAAUUGAUGUUUGUGGUUCAAAUUAGAGCUUGUUGGAGGGCUUCAUUAGUAAUCUCAAGUUAAAAGGGAUGAGACAUCAAGUUCUUACAGUUUCGAUAUCUAGAUGAAAUUCCCUCAAAAGUUGUAUAAACAUCCACCGUGUUCUUUUAAAGAUUGUUGAGAGUAAUACAAAGAAAAGAAUAAAAUAACAAAUUGCUUUUUCCCUUUGUAACUAAGAAGUCUGCUGCAUGAUAGCUGCAUUUGUGUGACAGAAGCAAAGCCAUGUGGAUGCCAAAAGUAAUGCAACAAUUUGAAAAGAGUAAACAGGGCGGUUGAUUAGUUAACUUCCAUAAUUCCGCAACAUUUGAUUCAAAAGACUUUAGCUUUAUCAAUUACUUAACUACUACUCCGUAUGUGGAUAAAUUCUUGUACCAUCUGAAAAGGUAUAGAAGAUAGUUAUCCUCAUAAAUAGGUUGCCUAAUUAAUUAGGUGAUCUUCAAUAAUUCAACAAGAUAGGGAUUUUAAAAUAUUUUUACUUUAUUAAUUCCUUAACUACUCCUUAAACUUCUUUUUUUCCCCUUUUUGUGAAAAGCUUUUUACCCUCAAUACAUAUGAUAUAUUCCGUUGCUAGGAACUUGGGUUUGAGUAUGUAUUAAUUACUAUUCUUAAUCAAAUUUAUUAUUGAAAAAUUAUUUUUAGUUAUGGUUUUUUUAAUAUACUUAUUACACAUUUAUCAUAUGUACUUGUUUAAUAUACUUCUAAUAUAUUUAUCAUUCAACAACAAAUACGAGAAAAGGUAUAAAAGACAAUGAAAUUACAAACUAAAUUGCCUUUAGUUUUUUUAUAGUUGAAGGCCUUCUUUUCCACCCCUAGUCUCCAAUAAAUUAGACUCUACAAAGCUUCUUCUAUGUUACUCUCUGAUUCUACUUCUAGUGCAAAGAUUUUGCAGUACUCUACAUUAUCUUGCUAUUGCUAAGAGACAAUCCAAGAAUAUUGAAGAUAAUGAAGUUAGGUUGUUGUAGUAUAAUACCUGAGUUCUUCUCUACUUGCAACUAUGGGAUCGUACAUGAAGAAGCAUUUAAUAAAGGGUUUUAAGAAGCAUAACAUAUUUUUAAGGCCAAAUUAUUUACAAAUAAAGUGCAAUAACCAAAUAAAAAAUGAAGUUUGAUGAAUCAUGAUUAAGGGCGAAUUUAAUUUUCGUAAGGAAUUAUUAUUAUUUUUUUAAAAUCAAUUUUAUCACAAUGAAAUGAUCGAUGCAAAAAUUUAGUGCUUGUUUCUAUAUACUUAGUGUUAACUACUUUUAAAAAUGGAAAAUGAUUAUAACUUUUGUAUGAAAUGUAAAUUUUUAUUAGAAAAAUAUAUACUUCUAAACAAUUUUAAAAAACUAUUAUAUUUUAUUGUGACAAAAAGCUCUUACAUUUUAUAUAAGAGUUACUAGCUUUUUCCAUUUCAAAAAAAGAAACACGAAUUGUUCCAAACACUACAUAGUUAUUAAAAAUAUUUAAUCUAAAAAAAAAAUUAUUUUUAGUAUAAAUUGAUUCAUUUAAAAUUUUUACAUCAAUUGUUUUACGAUAACAAAAUAAUUUAAGUAUCACACACAAAGUUAUGAAAAAAAAUAUGAUAAUUUUAUUUUAGAUGAUUCACAAUAUUUCAAUGUUUUUUAAAAUAUAUUAAUUUUUAAAAAUAAAUUUAUUUAUAGAAAACUUGCAGUAAAUAUAUAAAAGAUGGAUGUGAUGAAACAUUAAUUAAAAUGAACUUUUUUUUUUCAUAAAAGAAAUUUUAAGAAAAAUUAAUUUCACCACAAAGAAAUAUUUUCAAAGAUUUAGUAAUCAAAACUAUCAUAUUUAAACUCAAUUAUUUUUAUAAUUUAUGUUUAUCCCUACAACAAUUUUUUUAUAUAUAAAUAUUUUACAAUAUAAGUGUACUAAGUAUAUUAUUUACAAAAAAAAAAAAAAUAAUAUUGACACAUAGAAUAUCAAUCUCUAUUGCAAUCUAAGAAUGCUUAGGUUCCAAAACCUCAAUUUAUUCUUGUUAGCUCAAGGGUUCUCCUAAUCAGGUUUUGAUGAUAACAAACCAUGGUUAAGUUGCUGAUUGGUUUGAAUUAUAAAGAAUUUCAUUUAUUAAUUCGAGAAUUCAUCAAAUGACCAAAUGGAUGCAAGAUCAAGACCUUUGGAAGACCUUUAAUAAUAGGAAACAUAUAUAAGAUGAAUGCAUGGGUGCACUUAGGUUUUACAUAUCAUUUCAUGCAUCUUUGAAAAACUCGAUUUAUUCUUUAAAGUUAUAGUUUCAUCAAAAUCCAAGUUUUAUCAAAUGAACCUUAGACAAAUUACUUCAAAAUUGGCAUAUUAAUUUACCUAAAGACCUUGCCUAAGUGUUAGAAGAGAAAAUAACAUAAAAAUAUAGGUUUUCAGGCAAAAAAUGUUGAACCGGUUGAGGCAUUGGCCAACCGGCUAGGGGUACCAGUUGACCGAUUCCCUCUUCGUGAUUGACUGGUUCCCUCUUCCCAGUUGACCGGUUCCCUCUUCUCAAUCGAGGUUUGGUCGAGGAGCGCAAAAAGUACUCUCUCUCUUCUAGUAGCCUUCCUUUCCGAUCGAGGUAUUUGCCAUCUUGGUCGACCUCCGGUCGAGGUCCGAUCGAGGUCCGGUCAAGGGUAAUGGUCACCUACCAAACAUUAAAUGCUCUAACGGCUACUAAAUCGGUCAAUCCCAGCUCGACCGAUUGAGGCUACUUUUUGGUUUUCUUGUCUCCCGAGGUUAGAAACCUAUAAAUAGAGAGUUCCACUUCAUUUUUAAGCAAGAGAACACUUGCAUUUAUUUGUCUACCCACUUAUUCUUGCCUUAAAAUCUCUCAUUCCUUUCUUGGCGCAUUAAAUUCCCAUUUGCAUAUCCUUUAGUGCACCUUUGUGAUUCAUCCUACUCUUAAGUUGUAUUUGAGCUAUUGUUGAGCUAGGCUGAUUGAUUCAUUCUUGUUAAUUGAGUGUUAAAGCCUUCAAGUGAGUUGAAACUUGAAGAGAUUGUGUAAGAGCCCAUUAGAGUCGAAAUCCAAGUGUAAAGGUGAUUAGAAGCUUGGUUGAAGCUUCAAGUUAGUGGAAUCCUCACUCGAUUAGGAGUUUGAAGAGAGUGGACGUAGGCAAGAAAGUGUCGAACCACUAUAAAAUUUGAGUUUGCUUUGUCUAACUCUAUCUCUUUAUAUUUGCUUCUCUUGUGCUUAAAUUUGUUUGUUUAAAAAGAAUUUUUUAAAAACCCAAUUCACCCCCCUCUUGGGUGUUUUUCUCAUUUAAGAUUAACCUUUAUUUUCUCAAUUCUUUUCUACCAACCAUACCUACAUUCAUGAAUUAGAAAGAAUAAUUUAACUAUACCAUAGGAAUUAUUAUAGUAAAUGGAAAAAAUACCACUAUUGAACCCUAAAGUAUCUCAUAAUUUCUUGUUUGUUAUAUCUACACCUUAAACUAGUAGCUUUGGUUCCCUAUGGUGUCACAUAUUCUUCCUUACUAUUAGGAUAUAGCCCUUAAAAAAUUUAGGGUUUAUUAUUCAUUCAAUAAAGUUCCAAUUGCACUUUAAUUAAUUAAUAGUCCAUGCAUUAUACCUUAUGAGCAUUUAGACCUACAUCUUUGCAUUAUGAGUUGUAUGGAAGAUCCAAGUCAUGGAUUCCUUACAAGUAGAUGGGUUGUUCACAACUGGUUCAUGAACUUAGACAAUAUCUUAGACUUCUUAAUUGGAGGGAUGGUUAGUCUUGGCCAUUGGGACGGGUUUCCCAUGAAGAGUGCACUAAAGUGUAUGGUUACAUAUUGGACAGGACCUAUAGUGAACCGUACUGUAAGUUUAUCAAGUUGCCAUGACUUCACUAAGCUACUUUAUUGUAUUGUCUUUCAACCUUGAAAUAAUAUUGAACUUGAGCAAAAGUUAGUAGUGACUUUAACUUACGGGUAAGAUCUUAAAGUGAUCAUAUAUUCCUUAUGGAUUGGAUCAUUGUUGAUGAAAACUACUAACAACAGGUAUUCUCAAUAUAAGCACCAUGAUAUUUAAUGGGAUUGAGACAAUGUGUUCCCUUGGGUGAUCUUAAGGAUGUGUGUUUAGGUCAACCAUGGUCAUCAUAAUUCCUUAAGUGGAACUUGACAUUAGCUCUUGGUGAGCUUAGAUAAUAUGUCAAUUGAUCACACUCUAAGAGGAUUUGGAACUCAAAGAUGGUAGAGGUAAUCUUCAAAAUUUGAUAACUUUUACCUUGUUAGAUUAUGGACAUCGGUUCAUGGGGAGACGUAGUGCUUAGGUCAUAGACCGACCCAAGUACUAAGCAUCUCGUUAUAUUUACGUAGUGUAUUGGAGUGUAGUAGUUGACUCUCUACUGUCAAAUGUAAAGAAAAUUUCAGAAUUGGAUUUUGAGGGAGUCAAUACUAUCAUAGGAGUCCCAAUUAUCCUCACUCGAGCUCAUAUACCUUGAUGACACAGUUUAUGAAGGUUAGAUUGACUCUUAGUUCACUUAUGUGCAUAAGGGCAUGUUGAUAAUUACACAAGGUUAAAUAGGGGUUAGUGAUCAAUAUCUCUAGAUUUGGCUAAUUGAUUCAUUAUUUAGUCCUAUUGAGUUAAUUAAUCAAUUAUAACCCUUUUUAGGCUAGAUUAAGUGACCUAAGCCCAUGGUGAACUCAAGUUACUUAAGCUUAGUAGGAAUCACUAUAAAUACCCAUUUAGGGGUUAAGGUUUCAAGCUUCUUCCAUUCAUACCCUACAUUUUAAAGAGAGAUCUCAAGCCUCCACCCUCAAAACUUCCAUUAUUUAAGUGCCAAGCUUCAAGGUUGAGUCAUGGGACGGAAGAUCAUGGGUUUAUGAGAUCUCUUGCAACUUUGAAUUUUUUAUUCAUAGCAAGGAAAUGAUUUGGGAAUUCUAAAUCAAUAGUAAGCACUCUAAUCUCAUUAUCUAGAUCCUAAAAUUGAUUUUAAAUGCAUAUUUUCCACUAUGCAUAGUAAUUAGAUAAGCAUAGGGAGGAUUGCAUGUAUCUAACCUGAUUUUAGGAUAGAGAAUGGAUUAAUCAAACAUUGCCUACAACUGGUAUCAAAAGCUUAGGUUAAGGAAACAUAUGAUCCCUUUUAAGGUGUGCUAAUCCUUGUGUUAUAGGAUUUGUUAUUCAUUUGAUGGUCCUAGGGAUGAAGGUAUAUGCAUGAGAUUUUUUGAACUUUUAUUAUGAUAAAUAUAUAUAGUGAUUGAUUGUUAGAUUGGUUUUUAUUAAUCUCUAGAUGAGUUGUAAACCCCAUAAUAAGUCUUAAGAUUUUUUUAUUUGCUAUAAAUUUUUUUUUUUUUUUAUAGAUUGGUUUGUGAAGUUCAAAUGAUUGGAGUAUAGGGUUUUGAUGUGAAAAUCCAAUUUACAUCUAUCUAUGUAACCCAUAAUGAGAAUGGAAGCAUUCAAAUUCUUGUACAUUCCCUUCCUGGAAAAAAAAAGUCCUUUUAAGGAAAAUAGUUACUAGAAAUACAAAAAUUCAUUCUCAAAUUCAGUUUCAUCAAGUUCUUAAGCACUUCUUCUAACACUCAAAAGCAACAUUUAAUGCUUGAAGCAUUUCAAGCUCUCUAAAGUUCCUUCAAGUGCUCCUAAAUAUACUAGUAAUCAUUUUAGGGUUUUUAGGGGUAAUUUUGGUCUCUUGUAAAACCACUAACCUUAUUUUUGUUAUGGAUUUUUUGGUAUGUUUGGAUAAUGAAAAUUUAAUAUUUAGGCUACCAAAUAAGCAACAGGACCCCUAAGUCCAUGCGAUUCCCUAUUUUAUUUUAUUUUAUUUUUUCUUUUAUGUUUCUAUUCUAUAUUGCAUAUGAUAAGAAGUUGAAUAAAAAGUUUUUCAAAAAUGGUAAUUUUGGAUUUUCUUAUAGAAAAUAAAUUUUCACGAGGAUUGUCACCAAGUAUUAUUUAUUUUAGAAUUGGAUGUUUCUAUUAUUGGAUUGGCAUCCCUUUUGGAACUUUCCUAUUGUUUUUGGUUAGGUGGUUCUCUAGGCUCUCCCCUCGUGAGAAAGAUAACAACACCAAAGAUAGUCCUCUAGGUCCUCAUGAGAAAAAGAACAACAAAAACAGGAUGUGAUUUGUCCAUAUAAAAUUGUUUUAACAUUUUUUCUAUAUAUGUUGACUGAUGGACGAAUGUGUCAUUUGAACAAUGCUUGAUCUACAAGCCGAGACAAUAUCUUGUUUUCCCUAAAUCUUUCAUUUUAAAUUCCUUCUUUAAAUAAUUGGUUAUUUUUGUGAGCUCUUUAAGAGUCCCUGUAAGGUUCAAAUCAUCCACUUAUACUGUAAUUAUUGUGAGCUUGGAUUAUGAUUUCUUAAUAAAAACACAUGGGUAAAAUGACUUAUUCACAUAUUACUCUUUUAAUAAAUACUCACUCAAACGAUUAUACUACAUGUGUUCAAAUUGAUUUAAUUUAUAGAGAUCUUUGUAGUUUGAUUGAGUACAUAUUUCAAGGUUUUGAAUUAGUCAUUUUCAAGCAAUUUGAAUCCUUCAAGGAUUUUCAUAUAUAUGUCAGUAUCUAUAGACCCAUAUAAAUAAGUUGUAAUAACAUCCAUGAGACACAUAUCUAGUCCUUUAGAAACUAUUAAACUUAUCAAGUAUCAAAAUUUGAUUGUGUCCAUUACAGGAGAAUAAUUUUCCUCAUAGUUUAUAACAGGUUUUUGCAAAAAACCUUGAACAAGUCAUGCUUUAUAUCUUGUGACGUCAUUAUUCUCAUUUCGCUUUCUCAUAAAGGCCCAUUUAUAUCCAACAGGCUUUAUGUUUUCAAGUGUUUGAAAUACAGGUCCAAAACCUCUCAUUUUGCUAACUAGUUUAGCUCUAUGUGGAUUACUUCUUUCCAUCUUGGUUAAUCAUUCCUUUUUCGAUGUUCAUCCACAGUUUUUUGUUCUUGAUCUUCAUUAUUUAUCAUGAUGUCCAUAAUUAAUUGGAACACAAAUAUGUUGUCUAUGAUAAUGUCAUUGUGGUUCCUUGUUUGUCCUGUGUGACUCAUUGAGAUCUCUCUAGUUCUAAAUACCAGUAUUUAAUCAAUUAGUGCCUCUUUAGGAGCUAACUAUUUAUCAAGUUGGGUUUCAGCAUUUGAUCCUUUCCUAUUUGUAAGCUCUUCAAGAGUACCAAGUUUUUCAUAUGUCAUUCUUUUUCUUUUUUUAGAAAUUGAAUCCUUUGAGCCAAUUGGUCUACCACGCUUUAGGUGUGUCUUACAUUCACUUGCGAUGGCAUUCUCCUAUUAUCCUUUACGGACAUCAAUAUGUGCUAGGGUAUUCACAGCCUGUAUGUGUGACUUUGUUACUUUCAUUAUAUUUGUCAAAGCAUCAAGUAACUAAUUUGCAAGUCCUUAUAAAUGAAUAAUCCUAUGAAAUUCUAGUUAACACUGCCUUGCACGAGGAUCAAGAUGAGACAAAGAGGAUACAUAACAUGUAAUGUCUCGCCAUUGUUCUGGAUUUGAUUUGUCACCCGUAAUGGUGGGAAAACAUUUUCAUCAAAAUGAAAAUCUACAAAGUGGGCAAUAAAAACAUCGCCUAUUAAAUGUUCAAGAUAGCUAAUAAUGGAGGGAGAAUUAAAACCAACAUAUAUACCAAGUAGACGUCGAGGACAUAACUUAAAACAUUGAGGUAGAGCUAUGGGAGCAUAGACAAUACAACCAAAAAUAAGUAAAUAUGAAACAUUUAGUUGGGAGCCUAAAAUAAGUUGUAAAUGUGAGAAUUCAUGAAGUUGUAGAACAAAUCUGAAUUAAAGUAACUACAUGGAGAAUAGCAUGUCCCCAAGUAGAUAAAGGCAAUUUUGUUGUCAGGAAUAACGGUUUUGCAAUCAAUUGCAAAUGCUUAAUAAGAGAUUUAACUAAUCCAUUUUGAGUGUUAGUAUGAGCAAUAGGAUGUUCAACAUCAAUACUAACCGACAUACAAUAAUCAAGAAAUAUUUGGGAAGAGAAUUCACUAGAAUUAUCAAGACAAAUUGUCUUAACAGGGUUGUGAAACCAAGGUUUGGUCAAUCUUAAUUUUGAUGAUAACAAAAUAAGGUUUGGAAUUAAUGAUUAUAUUUCAAUUGUGAUUAGUCGAGAUGAUUUUCAAAGUGGCAAUCAUAAAGACAAAAUCAAGCCAAAGGGAAAUCAAUAAGGUGAAGAAGACCUCAAAGAGAAGUGUCUUUCAAGACCUAAGUUUCAUAGGAUCUCUUUGUAAGGUUGUUAGUGCAUUUGUUUUUUUUUUUAUGCAUUACAUUAUUUACUUAUGCACCAAAAUCAUCCAAGAGUUAUUUUUGUUUCAAAUAUUUUAAAAUCGGAUGAUUUCAUGUUUUCAACUAAAACUUUGUGUCAAAUGUUUUCUAAACUUUUUAAAAAGGUUUUAAGUUAAAAAAAAAUGGUUGUUAAGCCAAAAAUGGCUUAACCGGCUAAACUGGCUAAAGAACCGAUUGACCUAUUUAGUUCAACCGAUCGAAUUAUGCAAAAACCUUCUCUAUAUUCCAGAAUGCUUUUCCGACCGGUCGAGGCUAAACCUCAUCUGGUUGAGUACGAAUCGAGGGGUGGUCAAGGGACGAUUGAGGUCCAUUGGUCACCUGCCAUGCAUUAAAUGUCAACGGCUAAUGAACCGAUCGAAUUAGAGCUCAACCGGACGAACCCCUAACAGCUAGUUUAACAUUUUUCUUCUAUAAAAAAGCUCUAGUCUUCAUUGUUUUAAGAGCUUAACCUUCCAAAACCUUUCUUGAAUAUACUUAAGCCUUGGGAGAGUGUUUUUGAGUGCAUCAUUAUUAUGAAACUUGCAUAUCAUUAACGCACUUUUCAAUCCUAGUUUAUCUCUUAUCAUUUGAGCCUAAAGUUUUGUACUAGGGUUUUGUGAGAUUAUUUUUCAUCCUUAUUUGUAAAUCUUUGAGAAGAAAAGUCCAAGUGUGAGGUAUCACUUAAGGAUUCUCAAGUGUGAGGUAUCACUUUAGGGGUUGUUCAAGAGUGAGGUAUCUCUUGAGGAUUGUAAAGGGUGCUUAGAGCCAAAAGUCCAAGAGGGUUGAUUGGAACCAUAAUCCAAUUGGAUUGCUUGAAGGCUUGGGUUGGAAGCCUUGAAUUAGUGAAACCUCAAGCUUGGGAUUGAAGCUAGAGAAGACUAGACGUAGGCCAAGUUGCGCCAAACCAUUAUAAAAAUCUUAUGUUUGCAUUCGGGAUCCCAAGUCAUUCAUAUCAUCCAUAACCCUGAGUUGUUCAUAUGAUCCAGAGCCCUGAGCUCACGACUUAGAGUAGCACAUGUCAUCCAUAAUCCUAAUCUCUUUAUAGAAUCUAGAGUCAUGGGUUCACAACCAAAUUCAUUCACAUCAAUCAUAGCCUUUUAUCUCAUGACCGAAAGACAUUUAUAUCAUACAUGACAUUGAGCCGUUCAUAACAUAAAGAGCCCUGAACUCCUGGCUCAGAUUAGUUAUUAUCAUCCAUAGCCCUGAGUUUUUCAUAGCAUCUAGAGCCUGGAGCUCACGACCUGGAGUAGUUCAUGUCUUCCACAGCCCUGAGUUAUUCAUAACAUCUAAAGCCCUAAGCUCAUGACCUGUAGUUGUUAAUGUUAACCACAACCCUAACUUGUUCAUUGCAUCUAGAGUCUUAAGCUCAUAACCCCAAGUUGUUUAUAUCAUCCAUGAACUUGAGUUGUUCAUAGAAUUUAGAGACCUAAGCUCACGAGGGGAAGUGGUUCAUAUCCUACACUUCCUUAUGUUUUUUUUUAGCAUUUAGAGACCUAAGCUCAUAACAUGCAGACAUUCAUGUCCUCCACCGUCCUAAGUUGUUCAUAGCAUUUAGAGCCUUGAGCUCAUGACUCAGAGUCGUAGAUGUCAACCAAAGUCCUGAGUUGUUCAUUUCAUCUAGAGCCCUAAGCUAAUGACCUCAAGUCAUUUAUAUCAUUCACGAUUCUAAGCUAUUCAUAAAAUUCAGAGACCUAAGCUCAUGACAUGGAGUCAUUCAUGUGCUCUACUACUCAAAUCUUUUCAUAGAUCUAGACCUAUGAGAUCACAACCAAAAUCGUUCCUGUCAUCCAGAAUCCUAAGUUGUUCAUUUUAAUAGCCUUAAGCUCACAACCUAAAGUCGUUGAUGUCAACCACAACCUUAAGUUGUUCAUAGAAUCUAAAGCCCUAAGGUCACGACCCAGAGUCGUUCAUGUCAUCCACAGCCCUGAGUUGUUCAUAGUAACUAGAGCCUUUGGCUUAUGACAAAGAAAUGUCCAUAUCAUCCACAACUUUGAGCUAUUCAUAGCUUCUAAAGCCCCAAGCUCACGGGACCCUGAGUUGUUCAUGUCUUCCAUAACCCUCUACUCUUCAUACCCGUGAUUUUCUACCAAAAAUUGCCAUGAAAAAGUUUUCACAUGCAUCUCAUGCUCCUCUUGCAGUCGUCUGAAGACAAGUCAAUGUGCUUUGCUUCACUAAAAUUCAGUGUGCACCAAGUCUCUAUGUAAAGAUGAGUUGCUUGCAACCCUCCCAAAAUUUCUCCAUUAACGGAUCCCAAGUAUCUCCACCAAAAUCAUACAAAGAUAAAUACAAAAAAUAAAUAUUAGAAAUUACAUAAUAAUAUAAAAUAAAUAAAUAAAUAAAAUCUCAAAUGAUGCAAUGAGGGUGAAACCAAAAAAAAAAAAUAUAUCAAUCACAUACGUAGUUAAGUAGAAAAAAGAAUAUUAUUCCAUGUAACUUAAAAGAUUAGAUUCAAAAUCUCAAGCAAUUUCCUAAAAAAUAAAUAAAUGAAUAAAUAAAUAUCACAUGGGCAAUUAGAAUUUGAAAAUAAAAAUAAUGCAAUAGAAAACAAUGAAAAACGGAUGCAAUCAAGAAUCGAAAUCAAGUCCAAACAAAUGUCCAAAAUGUAUGAAAAAAGUGCCUAGGUGACUAGGGUGAAUGUGUGCAAGCUGGAAGGUGCCUAGGUGAAUCUAAGUGGGCCUAGGUGAACCUAGAUGAGUCUAACCUAAAGUGCAAAUUAAGGUUGUCGAGGGUCACAAUGGGGUUAGAUAAAUCUCUCGAUCAAAGUCUCUAAGGUGGCUCAAAAAAAGGUAAGUAGUAUGAGUAACAAUGGACCACCAAGGAACUACUAUGGAGCACUAGAAGUGAACUUAAAGACAUGUGCUAAAGGGACAAAAUUGAGGGUCUACAUACAUGUUUAAUUCACUUUAAACAUUUGAAUAACAUUGUUUUUAUUUAUAAAAAUAAAAUAAAUUUUAAAAAUCAAAUUUCAUUUCUUUUACAACAUACAUUUAUAUUAAAUAAUUUAUAAUUAUUAAUUAAUUUGCUAUUAAAAAUAUAAUAAUAAUAUAUCUUAACGAGGAAAUUUUAAAUUCCUGAAAAAAUGUUUAAAAUAAUUGUUAUAAAUGAAGUAGUGAAUGUCGCCACAUCAUUAUAAUAAAUGUUAAUUAAAAAUUAUUUAUGACUUUCAUUAAUUCAAUAUUAAUGGAAGCCAUUUAGACAGUCUAUAGAAAGGUUUCCCAUCCCCUAUGCAAGGAGCAUCCUAAGAAAAGAAGCAGUCUCUCAUUCUCUCUGUUUUUCAUUCUCUCAUCUCUCCUAAUUUUCUUCUCUAAUUUCUUUCUCCCCAUUAUAUAUUAUUAAAGUUAUAUAUAUUUGUCUCUACUUUUGUUUGCAUUUAUUAUGGUUUUGCAAUAAUAAUUUUUAUUUUUAUUUUUCUAUUUUAAACACACAAAACUUGGGUUCACAUUUUAAUUGGUUGUUAAGUGGUCUUAACGUUUCUAUGUGUUUUAAAUAUGGUUCCUGCUUUUUAUUUUUAAAAUAGUAAUAAUAGUAAUCAUUAGUAUAAUGUACAUAAAAAUAAUACUGGUAAAGAAAGAAAAAAGAAGAAGGGUUUUUAAGAUAAUAGAAUGGUAUAAUGUAUGACUAUUGAAAUGUUAAUCAAGCUAAAUAUUAACAAAGUUUUAUUUUACCAUUGCAUAUAUUUUUAAAUGAUACAUUUAUAUUAUGUAAUAGAAUUAGAAAUAUUCAUAUUUUUACAUUUCAUUGUUUAUCCUAAUUAUGAUAUAAUAUGCUAAAUUUUAACUAUAAAAAGAUGAAAUAAUUUUAAUUAUUUGUAUAUUUUUAAUUUUAAUUAUAUGUAAAUUACAUAUUUAUCAUGUCAUGUUCACAUCAUUAUUCUAUGUAAUUCAAUCAUUGAUCUAACCAGUGAACUAUUGAUCGAUUUUUAUUUAAUAACUGAUUCGAUUUUGAAAAUAUUGUGAGAUACAUCAAGAUGCUUUUUUUAAAUAAAAAAAAUUAUUUAUUAGUUUUAAGAGAAUAUCUAUUAAUGUUUUCAUUUAUGAACAUGAAAUAAUUUUGGUUGUUGAGUGGUCCUAACAUAUUUCUUUUAUUUUUCUUUUAUUGUUUAUAGUAAGUCUCCAAGACCUUCCUCGGUAACAUGAACUCUUCACCAACCAACCUCAUAGACUCCACUCCAUAGAGGCAACUUCACAUCUAUGUGGGAACCAACCAAAAUUGAAAAGAAAAAAAAAAUCUACGAAUCAUUUAAUUUAGGAAACUUUCACCAACCUACACUCGUUAAACUUGGACAUGGAUGAAAUUUUAUUUUAUUUUAAUUUUCUUUCUAUUUAAAAAAUAAAUAUUUUUAAAUUUCAAAAUCAAUAUAUUUUAUUAGUUUUGUUUUACGCUUCUCAUAGUCUCAAAAAGACUAUUGUGAAAUUUAAAAACAGAAAAAAUAUAUGAAUCCAACCAUUUACAAAUUAAAUUCAAUUUUCGUUAUAAAAUGAGAAAUAAAAAUAAAAGCACAAAUUUUACCUAAUAUAUAUAUAUAUAUAUUUCUAGGAAGUAGGGUAUUCAAGUUGAGGUUUGUUCGGAAUGCUGCCAAAUAUUUUAACGCAAGAAAAAUGCUUCAGCCAAAACAAUGGUCAAAUGAGACAGCGCAAGAUAUUUAUCCCUUUUUAAAAAAUCGCAACUGGAGGGUGGAGGAAGGAGGCUGAAGGGCCGAUGUCAUACAAAAUUGACUACUUUCUCAGUAAUCCCCUCCACGUGACUCAAAUCAGCACGGAAGUAUUGAACAAGACCCCACCACCAGCUACAAGUGGGUUGGAAGUGGACACAGCAUUUCUGAUACUUAUAAAUACCCGACGCUCACACACUGCUUUGGCAACCCAUCUUCAAGCACUAGUCCGCAUACUCUUCUCUUUUCUUCUACCGCUUUGAAGCUCUGUGGGGGAUUUUACUAGUCAUCAAUGGCAUCUGUGGAGGACAUUAGAAACGCUCAACGUGCCAAGGGGCCGGCCACCAUUCUAGCCAUUGGCACUGCUACUCCAGACAACUGUGUCUACCAGUCCGAUUACGCUGAUUACUAUUUCCGGGUCACUAAAAGCGAGCACAUGACCGACUUGAAGAAGAAGUUCAACCGCAUAUGUAAGUAUAUAUAUUCAUGCAUCAAUUGGAACAUCCAUUACAUACAUAUAUGUAUAAUUAUCAUAAUGCUUUAAGAUUCCCCUGCAAGAAUUGCCAAGUUUUCUUCAAGCUUCCUGUGUGUUGCUUUUCUGUAAACUAAUUAAAUCUGUGAAAAAUGAGGCGCUAUACAUUGAUUUAAUAUUUCGUAAUAGCGCUGCUCUUUCCAAUCCUAUAUAAAUUAAUUGCCCUGCCUAGGAACACAUAGUUAUUGUAAUAAUAAGUAAUAAUCUGUUUUAUAUUUAUGUCGAUCAUCUUGAGUGAUAAUGAAGCUGCCCAUUAUUACUGAAUGAAUUUUGCUUUGCUAGUCCAUUAGCUAAUAUAUUAAAUUCCUUUAACUUAUAUAUAGGUGAGAAAUCGAUGAUCAAAAAGCGAUACAUUCAUUUGACCGAAGAAAUGCUUGAAGAGCACCCAAAUAUGGGUGCUUACAUGGCUCCAUCGCUCAACAUACGCCAAGAAAUUAUCACUGCUGAGGUACCUAAGCUUGGUAAGGAGGCCGCAUUGAAGGCUCUUAAAGAGUGGGGCCAGCCUAAGUCCAAGAUCACUCACCUUGUAUUUUGUACAACUUCGGGAGUAGAAAUGCCCGGUGCAGACUAUAAACUAGCCAAUCUUCUAGGCCUCGAAACAUCAGUUAGAAGAGUGAUGUUGUAUCAUCAAGGCUGCUAUGCAGGUGGGACUGUUCUCCGAACUGCUAAGGAUCUCGCAGAGAAUAAUGCAGGAGCACGAGUUCUUGUGGUAUGCUCUGAAAUCACGGUUGUUACUUUUCGUGGGCCUUCUGAAACCCAUUUAGACUCUUUAGUGGGUCAAGCCCUUUUUGGUGAUGGGUCAGCAGCUGUAAUUGUUGGAUCAGAUCCAGAUACCUCCAUUGAACGACCACUCUUCCAACUUGUUUCAGCGGCCCAAACAUUCAUUCCUAAUACACAAGGUGCUAUUGCUGGCAACUUACGUGAAGUGGGUCUAACCUUUCAUUUGUGGCCUAAUGUGCCUACUCUGAUUUCCGAGAAUAUAGAGAAGUGCUUGACUCAAGCUUUUGGCCCACUUGGUAUUAGUGAUUGGAACUCCUUGUUUUGGAUCGCUCAUCCAGGUGGCCCGGCCAUUCUAGAUGCAAUCGAAGCAAAACUCAAUUUGGAGAAGAAGAAACUUGAAGCAACAAGACACAUCUUAAGUGAGUACGGUAAUAUGUCAAGUGCAUGCGUGUUGUUUAUUUUGGAUGAGAUGAGAAAGAAAUCACUCAAGGAAGAAAGGACCACCACAGGUGAAGGAUUAGAUUGGGGCGUUUUAUUUGGUUUUGGGCCAGGUUUGACCAUUGAAACUGUUGUGCUGCAUAGCGUUGCUGGGGCUACAAAUUGAGUGAAAGGAAAAAAAUCAGAAGGGGACAAUUUCUAAUUAAAUCAAAUAGGAGUUAAUAAAGACAUAUAUGUCUUCUAUUUGUAACAUCUUUUAUUCUUUAUUAAAAUUGAUGUUUGUGGUUCAAAUUAGAGCUUGUUGGAGGGCUUCAUUAGUAACCUCAAGUUAAAAGGGAUGAGACAUCAAGUUCUUACAGUUUCGAUAUCUAGAUGAAAUUCCCUCAAAAUUUGUAUAAACAUCCACCGUGUUCUUUUAAAGAUUGUUGAGAGUAAUACAAAGAAAAGAAUAAAAUAACAAAUUGCCUUUUCCCUUUGUAACUAAGAAGCAAAGCCAUGUGGAUGCCAAAAGUAAUGCAACAAUUUGAAAAGAGUAAACAGGGCGGUUGAUUAGUUAACUUCCAUAAUUCCGCAACAUUUGAUUCAAAAGACUUUAGCUUUAUCAAUUACUUAACUACUACUCCGUAUGUGGAUAAAUUCUUGUACCAUCUGAAAAGGUAUAGAAGAUAGUUAUCCUCAUAAAUAGGUUGCCUAAUUAAUUAGGUGGAUCUUCAAUAAUUCAACAAGAUAGGGAUUUUAAAAUAUUUUUACUUUAUUAAUUCCUUAACUACUCCUUAAACAUCCUUUUUUCCCCUUUUUGUGAAAAGCUCUUUACCCUCAAUACAUAUGAUAUAUUCCGUUGCUAGGAACUUGGGUUUGAGUAUGUAUUAAUUACUAUUCUUAAUCAAAUUUAUUAUUGAAAAAUUAUUUUUAGUUAUGGUUUUUUUAAUAUACUUAUUACACAUUUAUCAUAUGUACUUGUUUAAUAUACUUCUAAUAUAUUUAUCAUUCAACAACAAAUACGAGAAAAGGUAUAAAAGACAAUUAAAUUACAAACUAAAUUGCCUUUAAUUUUUUUAUAGUUGAAGGCCUUCUUUUCCACCCCCAGUCUCCAAUAAAUUAGACUCUACAAAGCUUCUUCUAUGCUACUCUUUGAUUCUACUUCUAGUUCAAAGCCUUGGCACUCCACAUUAUCUUGCUAUUGCUAAGAGACAAUCCAAGAAUAUUGAAGAUAAUGAAGUUAGGUUGUUGUAGUAUAAUACCUGAGUCCUUCUCUAGUUGCAACUAUGGGACCGUACAUGAAGAAGCAUAACAUAUUUUUAAGGCCAAAUUAUUUACAAAUAAAGUGCAAUAACCAAAUAAAAAAUGAAUUUUGAUGAAUUAUGAUUAAGGGCGAAUUUAAUUUUCGUAAGGAAUUUUUUUUUUUUAAAUCCAUUUUAUCACAAUGAAAGGACCGAUGCAAAAAUUUAGUGCUUGUUUCUAUAUACUUAGUGUUAACUACUUUUAAAAAUGGAAAAUGAUUAUAACUUUUGUAUGAAAUGUAAAUUUUUAUUAGAAAAAUAUAUACUUCUAAACAAUUUUUUAAAAAUAAUAUAUUUUUAUUGUAAGUAUCAAAAAGCUCUUACAUUUUAUAUAAGAGUUGCUAGCUUUUUCCAUUUUAAAAAAAGAAACACGAAUUGUUCCAAGCACUACAUAGUUAUAAAAAAUAUUUAAUCUAAAAAAAAUUAUUUUUAGUAUAAAUUGAUUCAUUUAAAUUUUUUACAUCAAUUGUUUUACGAUAACAAAAUAAUUUAAGUAUCACACACAAAGUUAUGAAAAAAAAAUAUGAUAAUUUUAUUUCAGAUGAUUCACAAUAUUUCAAUGUUUUUUAAAAUAUAUUAAUUUUAAAAAAUAUAUUUAUUUAUAGAAAACGUGCAAUAAAUAUAUAAAAGAUGGAUGUGAUGAAACAUUAAUUAAAAUGAACUUCCUUUUUCAUAAAAGAAAUUUGAAGAAAAAUUAAUUUCACCACAAAGAAAUAUUUUCAAAGAUUUAGUAAUCAAAACUAUCAUAUUUAAACUCAAUUAUUUUUAUAAUUUAUGUUUAUCCCUACAACAAUUUUUUUUUUUUUUGUAAAUAUUUUACAAUAUAAGUGUACUAUGUAUAUUAUUUACAAAAAAAAAAAAAAAGAAAGAAAAAAUAUUGACACAAAAUAUCAAUCUCUAUUGCAAUCUAAGAAUGCUUAGGUUCCAAAACCUCAAUUUAUUCUUGUUAGCCCAAGGGUUCUCCUAAUCAGGUUUUGAUGAUAACAAACCAUUGUUAAGUUGCUAAUUGGUUUGAAUUAUAAAAAAUUUCAUUUAUUAAUUCGAGAAUUCAUCAAAUGAUCAAAUGGAUGCAAGAUCAAAACCUUUGGAAUACCUUUAAUCAUAGGAAACAUAUAUAAGAUGAAUGAAUGAGUGCACUUAGGUUUUACAUAUCAUUUCAUGCAUCUUUGAAAAACUCAGUUUAUUCUUUAAAGUUACAGUUUCAUCAAAACUCGAGUUUUAUCAAAUGAACGUUAGACAAAUUACUUCAAAAUUGACAUAUUAAUUUACCUAAAGACCUUGCCUAAGUGUUAGAAGAGAAAAUAACAUAAAAAGAUAGGUUUUCAGGCAAAAAAUGGUGAACCGGUUGAGGCAUUGGCCAACAGGCUAGGGGUACCGGUUGACCGGUUCCCUCUUCCCGGUUGACUGGUUCCCUCUUCCCGGUUGAUCGGUUCUUUCUUCCCGGUUGACCGGUUCCCUCUUCCCGGUCGAGGAGCGCAAAAAGCACACUCUCUCUUCCAACAGCCUUUCCUUCUCGGUCGAGGUAUUUGCCUUCCUGGUCGACCUCCGGUCGAGGGUAACAGUCACCUACCAAACAUUAAAUGCUCCAACGACUAAUGAACCAGUCAACCCCAGCUUGACCGAUUGAGGCUACUUUUUGGUUUUCUUGUCUCCCAAUGUUAGAAACCUAUAAAUAGAGAGUUCCACUUCAUUUUUAAGCAAGCGAGCACCUGCAUUUAUUUGUCUACCCACUUGUUCUUGCCUUAAAAGCUCUCAUUCCUUUCUUAGUGCAUUAAAUUCCCAUUUGCAUAUCCUUUAGUGCACCUUUGUGAUUCACCCUACCCUUAAGUUGUAUUUGAGCUAUUGUUGAGAUAGGUUAAGAGAUUCAUUCUUGUUAAUUGAGUGUUAAAGCCUUCAAGUGAGUUGAAACUUGAAGAGAUUGUGUAAGAGCCCAUUGGAGUCAAAAUCCAAGUGUAAAGGUGAUUAGAAGCUUGACUCCACCGAUACACUAUGGGAAGGUUGGCUUACUGAACAGUUACUCGUUCUAGUAAGAUAAUAGAUUGGAAUGCUAACUUUGGCUAUGCCUUUCUAGCUUCAUCAGCUGAUCCUGAAGCCUAUGUUAUAUUGGCUUCAGUGGCAUCCACUGCCUUUGUUCUAUAAAUAAAAUAAAAUAAAUUACAACUGGAAAGUUUAAUUUGUAAUGUGAUUUUUAAAAAUUUAAGUCCAAUAUAUAUUAUUUACUCAUAAUAAUAAUAGUUUUAUAUCUUUAGAAUAAAUCAUUAAUUCCUGAAAAGUGUUUUAAAAUAUUAAAUUUUUUUUUUCAUAAACAAAAUUCACAAUUUUGGUUGUUGAGUGGUCCUAACAUAUUUCUUUUAUUGUUUAUAGUAAGUCUCCAAGACCUUCCUCGGUGACAUGAACUCUUCACCAACCAACCUCAUCUAUGUGGGAGCCAACCAAAAUUGAAAAGAAAAAAAUCUACGAAUUACUUAAUUUAGGAAACUUCCACCAACCAACACUCGUUGAACUCGGACAGCGUAUGUCAUUUGGAUGUUAUUUUAUUUUAUUUUAUUUUUCUUUUUAUUUAAAAAUAAAUAUUUUUAAAUUUCAAAAUAAAUAUAUUUUAUUAGUUUUGUUUUACGCUUCUCAUAGUCUCAAAUAGACUAUUGUGAAAUUUAAAAACAGAAAAAUAUAUGAAUCCAACCAUUUACAAAUUAAAUUCAAUUUUCGUUAUAAAAUGAGAAAUAAAAAUAAAAGCACAAAUAUAUAUUUCUAGGAAGUAGGGUAUUCAAGUUGAGGUUUGUUCGGAAUGCUGCCAAAUAUUUUAACGCAAGAAAAAUGCUUCAGCCAAAACAAUGGUCAAAUGAGGCAGCGCAAGAGAUUUAUCCCUUUUUAAAAAAUCGCAACUGGAGGGUGGAGGCUGAAGGGCGGAUGUCAUACAAAAUUGACUACUUUCUCAGUAAUCCCCUCCACGUGACUCAAAUCAGCACGGAAGUAUUGAACAAGACCCCACCACCAGCUACAAGUGGGUUGGAAGUGGACACAGCAUUUCUGAUACUUAUAAAUACCCAACGCUCACACACUGCUUUGGCAACCCAUCUUCAGGCACCAGUCCGCAUACUCUUCUCUUUUCUUCUACCGCUUUGAAGCUCUGUGGGGGAUUUUACUAGUCAUCAAUGGCAUCUGUGGAGGACAUUAGAAACGCUCAACGUGCCAAGGGGCCGGCCACCAUUCUAGCCAUUGGCACUGCUACUCCAGACAACUGUGUCUACCAGUCCGAUUACGCUGAUUACUAUUUCCGGGUCACUAAAAGCGAGCACAUGACCGACUUGAAGAAGAAGUUCAACCGCAUAUGUAAGUAUAUAUAUUCAUGCAUCAAUUGGAACAUCCAUUACAUACAUAUAUGUAUAAUUAUCAUAAUGCUUUAAGAUUCCCCUGCAAGAAUUGCCAAGUUUUCUUCAAGCUUCCUGUGUGUUGCUUUUCUGUAAACUAAUUAAAUCUGUGAAAAAUGAGGCGCUAUACAUUGAUUUAAUAUUUCGUAAUAGCGCUGCUCUUUCCAAUCCUAUAUAAAUUAAUUGCCCUGCCUAGGAACACAUAGUUAUUGUAAUAAUAAGUAAUAAUCUGUUUUAUAUUUAUGUUGAUCAUCUUGAGUGAUAAUGAAGCUGCCCAUUAUUACUGAAUGAAUUUUGCUUUGCUAGUCCAUUAGCUAAUAUAUUAAAUUCCUUUAACUUAUAUAUAGGUGAGAAAUCAAUGAUCAAAAAGCGAUACAUUCAUUUGACUGAAGAAAUGCUUGAAGAGCACCCAAACAUGGGUGCUUACAUGGCUCCAUCGCUCAACAUACGCCAAGAAAUUAUCACUGCUGAGGUACCUAAGCUUGGUAAGGAGGCCGCAUUGAAGGCUCUUAAAGAGUGGGGCCAGCCUAAGUCCAAGAUCACUCACCUUGUAUUUUGUACAACUUCGGGAGUAGAAAUGCCCGGUGUAGACUAUAAACUAGCCAAUCUUCUAGGCCUCGAAACAUCAGUUAGAAGAGUGAUGUUGUAUCAUCAAGGCUGCUAUGCAGGUGGGACUGUUCUCCGAACUGCUAAGGAUCUCGCAGAGAAUAAUGCAGGAGCACGAGUUCUUGUGGUAUGCUCUGAAAUCACGGUUGUUACUUUUCGUGGGCCUUCUGAAACCCAUUUAGACUCUUUAGUGGGUCAAGCCCUUUUUGGUGAUGGGUCAGCAGCUGUAAUUGUUGGAUCAGAUCCAGAUAC